AUUUGAGGGAGUAUUUGUAAUCGGAUUUCACCAAGAAAAUUUUUGAAUAAAUGAUCCUUGAGCAUAGAGGGACAUUUUGACAACUUCAAAGUGGUUUUGCAAGUGGGUCCCACAUGGAAUUUUAGCAUGAUUUAGACCCAAAGCAUCUAUAUAAAAUACGGGUAUUGUUAUUCUCUAUUAAUGUGAAUAUUAUUAUUUUG
rnacentral:lncRNA from 1 species